AUUGAACGCUGGCGGCAUGCCUUACACAUGCAAGUCGAACGGCAGCACGGGGGCAACCCUGGUGGCGAGUGGCGAACGGGUGAGUAAUGCAUCGGAACGUGUCCUCUUGUGGGGGAUAACCAGUCGAAAGAUUGGCUAAUACCGCAUGAGAUCGAGAGAUGAAAGCGGGGACCCGAGGGUAACUUCGGGCCUCGCGCGAGAGGAGCGGCCGAUGCCGGAUUAGCAGUUGGUGGGGUAAGAGCCUACCAAGGCGACGAUCCGUAGCUGGUCUGAGAGGACGACCAGCCACACUGGGACUGAGACACGGCCCAGACUCCUACGGGAGGCAGCAGUGGGGAAUUUUCCGCAAUGGGCGAAAGCCUGACGGAGUGACGCCGCGU
rnacentral:rRNA from 1 species